rnacentral:rRNA from 1 species
UACGUAGGGUGCGAGCGUUAAUCGGAAUUACUGGGCGUAAAGCGUGCGCAGGCGGUUCGUUGUGUCGGCGGUGAAAGCCCCGGGCUUAACCUGGGAAUGGCAGUGGAUACUGGCAAGCUAGAGUGCGGUAGAGGGUAGUGGAAUUCCCGGUGUAGCGGUGAAAUGCGUAGAUAUCAGGAGGAAUACCGAUGGCGAAGGCAGGUCUCUGGGCUGACACUGACGCUCAUGCACGAAAGCGUGGGGAGCAAACAGG